rnacentral:rRNA from 1 species
CCUACGGGUGGCAGCAGUGGGGAAUAUUGCACAAUGGGGGCAACCCUGAUGCAGCGACGCCGCGUGCGUGAAGAAGGAAUUCGUUAUGUAAAGCUCUAUCAGCAGGGAAGAAAAUGACGGUACCUGCGUACGAAGCCCAGGCUAACUACGUGCCAGCAGCCGCGGUAAUACGUAGGGGGCAAGCGUUAUCCGGAUUUACUGGGUGUAAAGGGAGCGUAGACGGCAGUGCAAGUCUGGAGUGAAAGGCGGGGGCUCAACCCCCGGACUGCUCUGGAAACUGUACGGCUGGAGGGCAGGAGAGGUAAGUGGAAGUCCUAGUGUAGCGGUGAAAUGCGUAGAUAUGAGGAGGAACACCAGUGGCGAAGGCGGCUUACUGGACUGUAACUGACGUUGAGGCGAGAAAGCGUGGGGAGCAAACAGGAUUAGAUACCCGGGUAGGC